rnacentral:misc_RNA from 1 species
GAUGAAGAACCGUAGUGAAAUGCGAUAAGUAAUGUGAAUUGCAGAAUUCAGUGAAUCAUCGAAUCUUUGAACGCAUCUUGCGCUCCUUGGUAUUCCGAGGAGCAUGCCUGUUUGAGUGUCAUUAAAGUUCUCAACCAUGCCAGUUUUCUCUGGUCCAUGGCCUUGGAUGUGGGGGGUUUAUCAUUUUGCUGGCUUUGGAGACAAAGUCGGCUCCCCUGAAAUGCAUUAGUAGUAUUCGAGCAGAAAUCUACCACUGGUGUGAUGAAUUAUCUAUGCCUUGGUAUCAACUGUGUGCACUGCUUUCUCUAACAACAUUUGACAAAUUUGACCUCAAAUCAGGCAGGACUACCCGCUGAACUUAAGCAUAUCAAUAAGCGGAGGA